rnacentral:rRNA from 1 species
GAUGAACGCUGGCUGUGUGCCUAAUACAUGCAUGUCGAGCGAAGCACUUUUGUGCUUAGCGGCGAAUGGGUGAGUAACACGUACUUAACCUACCCUCAAGAUUGGGACAACACUUGGAAACGAGUGCUAAUACCAAAUACGUAUUUUUAUCGCAUGAUAGAUAUAUAAAAGGAGCUUCGGCUUCACUAGAGGAUGGGAGUGCGCUACAUUAGUUAGUUGGUAGGGUAAUGGCCUACCAAGACUAUGAUGUAUAGCGGGGCCGAGAGGCUGAUCCGCCACACUGGGACUGAGAUACGGCCCAGACUCCUACGGGAGGCAGCAGUAGGGAAUUUUCCACAAUGAACGAAAGUUUGAUGGAGCGACACAGCGUGCAGGAUGAAGGUCUUCGGAUUGUAAACUGCUGUUAUAAGAGAAGAAAAACCCUGGUAGGUAAUGACCAGGACUUGACGGUACCUUAUCAGAAAGCGACGGCUAACUAUGUGCCAGCAGCCGCGGUAAUACAUAGGUCGCAAGCGUUAUCCGGAAUUAUUGGGCGUAAAGAGUUCGUAGGUGGUUUUGUAAGUCUGAAGUUAAAUACCGGGGCUCAACCCCGGCCCGCUUUGGAUACUGCAAAACUAGAGUAAUAGAGAGGUUAGUGGAACUCCAAGUGAAGCGGUGGAAUGCGUAGAUAUUUGGAAGAACACCAAUGGCGAAGGCAACUAACUGGAUAUUAACUGACACUGAGGAACGAAAGCGUGGGUAGCAAACAGA